rnacentral:lncRNA from 1 species
UAAUUUAAUUUUCUUUGAGAAAAUGAUGGUUCAAAUUAAGGGGGGAAAUGUUUUGCAAAACUCAACAGUUUUGUGAAACCUUAAAUUGUUUUUCUUUAUGUUUUUUAAAGUUUUGAAAAACCCUAAAUGCUACCAGGGUUUUUUUUGUUUUUCUUUUUUUUUUUUUUUUUUUUUGCAUUACUUUUUACAUGAUCGAAGACCUAAAUCAGUCAUGAAUUAUGGUCAAUUAAGCCCAAACAAGGAACAGUGGGUGAAGUUCCUAACCAUGCUAUCAUAUUAAUAUAUAUCUUUUUGCAUUUGCUUUGGGUGAAAUUAUUCUGGAGGUGGAGGUCAACAAAUUAAUUAUUUGUCCCUGAAAUUCCACUUACUGUUCAAGCUUCCAUUCUGCAAUGGACAGCAUGCAGAUUCCCACUGACAGGGACAAACAGUUGUUGAGCAGGGGAGGAAGGGUUAGUCAGCUUUCUUUAAGAAAUAACAAUUCAAAUUAAAGGGGAAAUAAUCUGCAAAUUUAGUUCAAAGUCCUCAAAGUGAGGACAUGUUCAAAAUUGUUAAAGAUUCACCCAAAGCUUGGGUUCCACAUGACACUUAGCAUUCAUUGGAAGAAGGAGAUCACAGGUUGCAAGCUCAUUUCGGUGUGACCUGUCUUGUCCCUACUUGCAGAUCACUGGAUAUUUUCCCACUGCAUAUUAGCGAAAAAGCUGUGAAACCCCAAAAGAAUCUUGAACUUUAGCACAAGUUAUCUGAUAUGAAAAUUCAACCAGGAAUAUUUAACUUCCUGGUGAUCAUUCAAAAUGUUAUAGUCCUCCAAUAAUGAAGAAUUAACAGCAAAUUGUUGCCAACAGUUUAACAGAAGUGCCAAAAAGAUUUUUCUCCAGUGUGUGUGCCAAUUCCAUCUGUUCCAGUUGUGGUGCUUUGAAGGGAAAAGGAGUAAUAUCUAAAGGCUUAGACUGGCUUUCAGUUUCUGAUGGUCAUAAAAAAAUGUUUUCUUAUGAUUCAGGAGGAAGCACAAACAUUUGGCAAAUAUUGUUACAUCAGUACAUAUGAUCUUUUUUUACAAGAACAGAAAUGUCCGAUAAAAAUUCAGCUAUAUACUUACCUAAUCAAUGUAAUUCCAUCAAGGUCAUUAAACAUUAGAGAGAAGGCAGAAAAUGAGGUAGCUCUGAUUGUCAAUAGUUUGCCCUCCACAUCCCUUUCUCUAGGGGAAAAAGCGGUUCUCUGUCUUCUUUUGGUAUCUCUUGAUGUCCACUGAGAAAAGGAAAGGAGAAUAAAAGGAAAGAGGAGAAAAGGAAAGUAAAGUAC